UACAGAGGGUGCAAGCGUUGUUCGGAAUUAUUGGGCGUAAAGCGCGUGUAGGCGGCUUUGCAAGUCGGGUGUGAAAGCCCUCAGCUCAACUGAGGAACGUGCGCCCGAAACUGCAGAGCUUGAGUGCCGGAGAGGGUGGCGGAAUUCCCCAAGUAGAGGUGAAAUGCGUAGAGAUGUGGAGGAACACCGGAUGGCGAAGGCGAAGCUCCU
rnacentral:rRNA from 1 species